GCCGCGUGCAGGAUGACGGCUUAUGAGUUGUAAACUGCUUUUGUACGAGGGUAACGCAGAUACGUGUAUCUGUCUGAAAGUAUCGUACGAAUAAGGAUCGGCUAACUCCGUGCCAGCAGCCGCGGUAAUACGGAGGAUUCAAGCGUUAUCCGGAUUUAUUGGGUUUAAAGGGUGCGUAGGCGGUUUGAUAAGUUAGAGGUGAAAUUUCGGGGCUCAACCCUGAACGUGCCUCUAAUACUGUUGAGCUAGAGAGUAGUUGCGGUAGGCGGAAUGUAUGGUGUAGCGGUGAAAUGC
rnacentral:rRNA from 1 species